AUAGCGUAUAUUAAAGUUGUUGCGGUUAAAAAGCUCGUAGUUGAACCUUGGGCCCGACCGGCCGGUCCGCCUCACCGCGUGCACUGGUUCGGUUGGGCCUUUCCCUCUGGGGAACCGCAUGUCCUUCACUGGGCGUGUCGGGGAACCAGGACUUUUACUUUGAGGAAAACAGAGUGUUCAAAGCAGGCCUAUGCUCGGAUACGUUAGCAUGGAAUAAUAGAAUAGGACGAAGGUUCUAUUUUGUUGGUUUCUAGGACCGUCGUAAUGAUUAAUAGGGACAGUCGGGGGCAUCAGUAUUCAAUUGUCAGAGGUGAAAUUCUUGGAUUUAUUGAAGACUAACUACUG
rnacentral:rRNA from 1 species